rnacentral:snoRNA from 1 species
ACUCCAUGAUGAGGACAUUGUUGUAGUAGAUAAUAAAAUCUCUCCCAACACUCAUGAAAAAAUUCUUGAGGUUUUUGUUCAAAGUUCGUGAUUUUCUCCCUAAGUAG